CUGUGUUUAGGAUGACUCAGGGUUAAACUGUCAACCCUGAUUAGAUCAUCCAAAUCGUGCUCAACUCAAACAGUCCUGUGACUCCUCACAAAGACUACCCUGGUCAAGGUUUUGCUAAAUUGAAAUAUGACUGUACAUAGCUCCUAAACUGAAGUGGUAAAUCCCAUCUUGACACACGCACCGAUAAGUCAAGUACUUGACUACACCCAGCAGCCUUCCGUCAUUGAAUUAGAAAUUCAGGUAGUCCAGUGCCUAAGUGUAGUGAGUUGCUUGCAAGUCACCAUGGCGGUCUC
rnacentral:lncRNA from 1 species